GCGACGAUGAUGACGGUAGCGUGAGAAGAAGCCCCGGCUAACUUCGUGCCAGCAGCCGCGGUAAUACGAAGGGGGCUAGCGUUGUUCGGAAUUACUGGGCGUAAAGGGCGCGUAGGCGGUACUUCAAGUCAGGCGUGAAAGCCCCGGGCUCAACCUGGGAACCGCGCUUGAGACUGGAGAACUAGAGUUCGGGAGAGGAUGGUGGAAUUCCCAGUGUAGAGGUGAAAUUCGUAGAUAUUGGGAAGAACACCGAUGGCGAAGGCAGCCAUCUGGACCGACACUGACGCUGAGGCGCGAAAGCGUGGGGAGCAAACAGGAUUAGAUACCCUGGUAGUCCACGCCGUAAACGAUGAGUGCUAGACGUUGGGGUC
rnacentral:rRNA from 1 species